AAAUCUGACGCCCAAGCCCAACAUGACUCUCAAUUCACGCUUGGGCGAGCUCCUUGCGACGCAUGAGCGUGAAUUCACAUGGAUCGGGCCCUGUUUCUACUCUGAUUUGAUUCUUUUGGAUCGGGCCUCAUUCUGGAGCACUUCUGACACUAUUUGAAGGAUCCUAGGGCUCUAGGUUUUGCAUCCUUGGCAUAGAAGAGCAUAACAAUA
rnacentral:lncRNA from 1 species